rnacentral:rRNA from 2 species
UCUCCGUAGGUGAACCUGCGGAGGGAUCAUUACACAAAU